AACAUCGCGCACCUGCGGGAACCUGCGGAAGGAUCAUUACCGAGGCUGCCUCUAUGGCGGUUUCCCACCUGUGUCAUUUUUACCUGUUGCUUCGGCGGUUGCUUGUCAGUCGCCGAAGGAUUUUAAUCUUGAUGUUUGAUGUCCGAGUUCUACUGAAUAGUUAAAACUUUCAGCAACGGAUCU
rnacentral:misc_RNA from 1 species